GCUGAGUGUGGUUGUGUGCACCUGUACUACCAACUACUCAGGAGGCUGAGACAGGAGGAUUGCUUGAGCCCAGGAGUUCCAGGCUGUAGUGGGUGAUGAUCACGUCUGUGCAUAGCCACUGUACUCUAGCCUGGGCAACAUAGUGAGACCCUGUCCCUU
rnacentral:SRP_RNA from 1 species